GACGAACGCUGGCGGCGUGCUUAACACAUGCAAGUCGAACGGAAAGGCCCUGCUUUUGUGGGGUGCUCGAGUGGCGAACGGGUGAGUAACACGUGAGUAACCUGCCCUUGACUUUGGGAUAACUUCAGGAAACUGGGGCUAAUACCGGAUAGGAGCUCCUGCUGCAUGGUGGGGGUUGGAAAGUUUCGGCGGUUGGGGAUGGACUCGCGGCUUAUCAGCUUGUUGGUGGGGUAGUGGCUUACCAAGGCUUUGACGGGUAGCCGGCCUGAGAGGGUGACCGGCCACAAUGGGACUGAGAUACGGCCCAGACUCCUACGGGAGGAAGCAGUGGGGAAUAUUGCACAAUGGGCGGAAGCCUGAUGCAGCAACGCCGCGUGCGGGAUGACGGCCUUCGGGUUGUAAACCGCUUUCGCCUGUGACGAAGCGUGAGUGACGGUAAUGGGUAAAGAAGCACCGGCUAACUACGUG
rnacentral:rRNA from 1 species